CGAAAGCCUGACGGAGCAAUACCGCGUGAGGGAGGAAGGCUCUUGGGUUGUAAACCUCUUUUCUCAGGGAAGAAUACAUGACGGUACCUGAGGAAUCAGCAUCGGCUAACUCCGUGCCAGCAGCCGCGGUAAUACGGAGGAUGCAAGCGUUAUCCGGAAUGGUUGGGCGUAAAGCGUCCGCAGGUGGCAGUGAAAGUCUGCUGUCAAAGAGUCUGGCUCAACCAGAUAAAGGCAGUGGAAACUACACAGCUAGAGUACGUUCGGGGCAGAGGGAAUUCCUGGUGUAGCGGUGAAAUGCGUAGAGAUCAGGAAGAACAUCGGUGGCGAAGGCGCUCUGCUAGGCCGUAACUGACGCUGAGGGACGAAAGCUAGGGGAGCGAAUGGGAUUAGAUACCCCAGUAGUCCUAGCCGUAAACGAUGGAUACUAGGUGUUGCUUGUAUCGACCCGAGCAGUACCGUAGCUAACGCGUUAAGUAUCCCGCCUGGGGAGUACGCAGGCAACUGUGAAACUCAAAGGAAUUGACGGGGGCCCGCACAAGCGGUGGAGUAUGUGGUUUAAUUCGAUGCAACGCGAAGAACCUUACCAGGGCUUGACAUGUCGCGAACCCUUGUGAAAGCAGGGGGUGCCUUCGGGAGCGCGAACACAGGUGGUGCAUGGCUGUCGUCAGCUCGUGUCGUGAGAUGUUGGGUUAAGUCCCGCAACGAGCGCAACCCUCGUUUUUAGUUGCCAUCAUUAAGUUGGGCACUCUAGAGAGACUGCCGGUGACAAACCGGAGGAAGGUGGGGAUGACGUCAAGUCAGCAUGCCCCUUACGUCCUGGGCUACACACGUACUACAAUGCGCCGAACAGAGGGCAGCAAGCGUGCGAAUGCAAGCUAAUCCCGGAAAUCGGCGCUCAGUUCAGAUCGCAGGCUGCAACUCGCCUGCGUGAAGUUGGAAUCGCUAGUAAUUGCAGGUCAGCAUACUGCAGUGAAUUCGUUCCCGGGCCUUGUACACACCGCCCGUCACACCAUGGAAGCUGGUAGUGCCCGAAGUCAUUACCCCAACCUCCGGGAGGGGGAUGCCUAAGGCAGGA
rnacentral:rRNA from 1 species